ensembl:rRNA 5S_rRNA 5S ribosomal RNA
UUGUAUGUCCAUGCUACCUUUAUCCUCAAAGCUAAGCAGGGUCGGGCCCAGCCAGGACUUGGUUGGAAGACUGCCUGGGAAUACUGGAAGUGGUGGGUU